GCGUGGCGAUGGUCGCCAGGGCGCGGCGGCCGACCUUGCUGUGGUCGAGCAGCGCGACCACGCUGCUGCCGGAGCGGAUCAGCGCCUGCUUGCUGCCCACC
rnacentral:tRNA from 1 species